CCUACGGGUGGCAGCAGUGAGGAAUAUUGGUCAAUGGACGAGAGUCUGAACCAGCCAAGUAGCGUGAAGGAUGACUGCCCUAUGGGUUGUAAACUUCUUUUAUAUGGGAAUAAAAUGUUCCACGUGUGGGAUUUUGUAUGUACCAUAUGAAUAAGGAUCGGCUAACUCCGUGCCAGCAGCCGCGGUAAUACGGAGGAUCCGAGCGUUAUCCGGUUUUAUUGGGUUUAAAGGGAGCGUAGGUGGAUUGUUAAGGCAGUUGUGAAAGUUUGAGGCUCAACCGUAAAAUUGCAGUUGAAACUGGCAGUCUUGAGUACAGUAGAGGUGGGCGGAAUUCGUGGUGUAGCGGUGAAAUGCUUAGAUAUCACGAAGAACUCCGAUUGCGAAGGCAGUUCACUGGACUGCAACUGACACUGAGGCUCGAAAGUGUGGGUAUCAAACAGGAUUAGAUACCCGGGUAGUC
rnacentral:rRNA from 1 species